rnacentral:rRNA from 1 species
CGAGCGGUAACAGAGAGUAGCUUGCUACUUUGCUGACGAGCGGCGGACGGGUGAGUAAUGCUUGGGAACAUGCCUUGAGGUGGGGGACAACAGUUGGAAACGACUGCUAAUACCGCAUAAUGUCUACGGACCAAAGGGGGCUUCGGCUCUCGCCUUUAGAUUGGCCCAAGUGGGAUUAGCUAGUUGGUGAGGUAAUGGCUCACCAAGGCGACGAUCCCUAGCUGGUUUGAGAGGAUGAUCAGCCACACUGGGACUGAGACACGGCCCAGACUCCUACGGGAGGCAGCAGUGGGGAAUAUUGCACAAUGGGCGCAAGCCUGAUGCAGCCAUGCCGCGUGUGUGAAGAAGGCCUUCGGGUUGUAAAGCACUUUCAGUCAGGAGGAAAGGUUAGUAGUUAAUACCUGCUAGCUGUGACGUUACUGACAGAAGAAGCACCGGCUAACUCCGUGCCAGCAGCCGCGGUAAUACGGAGGGUGCGAGCGUUAAUCGG